UGCCAGCAGCCGCGGUAAUACGAAGGGGGCUAACGUUGUUCGGAUUUACUGGGCGUAAAGCGUACGUAGGCGGAUUAGAAAGUUAGGGGUGAAAUCCCGAGGCUCAACCUCGGAACUGCCUCUAAAACUUCUAGUCUAGAGAUCGGGAGAGGUGUAUGGAACUCCUAGUGUAGAGGUGGAAUUCGUAGAUAUUAGGAAGAACACCAGUGGCGAAGGCGAUACACUGGCCCGAUACUGACGCUGAGGUACGAAAGCGUGGGGAGCAAACAGGAUUAGAUA
rnacentral:rRNA from 1 species